rnacentral:rRNA from 1 species
AACGAACGCUGGCGGCAUGCCUAACACAUGCAAGUCGAACGAGACCUUCGGGUCUAGUGGCGCACGGGUUCGUCACGCGUGGGAACCUGCCCUUAGGUUCGGAAUAACUCCCCGAAAGGGGUGCUAAUACCGGAUAAUGUCUUCGGACCAAAGAUUUAUCGCCUUUGGAUGGUCCCGCGUUGGAUUAGCUAGUUGGUAGGGUAAAAGCCUACCAAGGCGACGAUACAUAGCUGGUCUGAGAGGAUGAUCAGCCACACUGGGACUGAGACACGGCCCAGACUCCUACGGGAGGCAGCAGUGGGGAAUAUUGGACAAUGGGCGAAAGCCUGAUCCAGCAAUGCCGCGUGAGUGAUGAAGGCCUUAGGGUUGUAAAGCUCUUUUAACCGGGAUGAUAAUGACGGUACCGGGAGAAUAAGCUACGGCUAACUCCGUG